rnacentral:tRNA from 2 species
AGGAAGAUAAUUUAAAUGGAUAGAAUUCUAGUCUCCAAAACUAGAUGUGAAAGUUCGAAUCUUUCUCUUCCUG